CCAACGGCCCUCUUAAGGGCCACAAAUGUAUUAAAAUCCUUUUUC
rfam:Caenorhabditis elegans chromosome V